GCGUGCGUUCCUGAAGCCUCUUGUUAUCAGCCGAUUCCAAAAACAUUAUUGAAUCGACUUCCACGAAUCCAAGAUAAAGAAGAUUAGAUACCAGAGCGUUGUCCUGCCACCGAAAGCUAUCGGACUUCUGGAAAGGGUCACGACAAAGAUAUUGCUACCAAACGUCAACAGGGCAAUCUGCCCUUUAAUUUAAUAUUCCUCAAGAUGAAAGUUAGCACUGCCAAAAAAAUUUCAUAAACAUAGACGGACGUCAUCUGAACACCCAAUUCUUAUCGUUGCUAUGGUCUAACCCUUUGACAUUUGCUGACCAACUAACGGGACAACACAGAAGGUACGUGUCUCGAAAUACAUAAUAUUAAUUAACUCUCCUCGUCAUAGAAACAAAACAUGAACGUUAAUCAACGUUGCACUAAUAUCACCGAUAUUGAAAUUUAAAACAAUCACAGGAAUAAUAAUAGGUGACCCUUGAUUUGGUCAGGCUUCCAUCGUGUUUCGUUAUGACACGGUUUCCCACUAUCGACAGUCGUUCGAACGAUAUUUGCAUGGCGUAAUUGGUUGUAGGGACAUUUUUUUUUACUACCAACCCACUAUGGAGCAAGGACACGGUAACAAACAAAAAAUGCCAAAGUGAAAGGGGCUUAACCGAAACGUAUUUGUUAUUUUUUUUCGAAAGUCUGAAUGACUGAUGAUCGACAUACCGUAUAGAAAAGUAUUGAGUAAGAAAACAGUAUCGCAGUAAACCAUUACAUGAUGGAUUUCAUUCAACGAACGACGUAUGUCGUCUCCGUUAUUCUUGUUUUAAAUGCUAAAACCAGACCGCGUCUUUGUAUAUCUCGGUCGGCAUACGGUUUACAUUGGACAUAUUUUGUUCCAGUCGGACCAGAAUGCAACAAACAGCAUUCCGUCAAGUUUCGUGAUUGGAGACUGUUCUACUCUCUGUAACUAAACCAAAA